rnacentral:rRNA from 1 species
ACGCAUUAGUACCCGCCUGGGGGAGUACGGCGCAGGCUAAACUCAAAGGAAUUGACGGGGCCCGCACCAGCGGCGGAGCAUGUGGAUAUUCGAUGCACGCGAAGAACCUUACCUGGGUUUGACAUGCACAGGACGCUGGUAGAGAUAUCAGUUCCCUUGUGGCCCUGUGUGCAGGUGGUGCAUGGCUGUCGUCAGCUCGUGUCGUGAGAUGUUGGGUUAAGUCCCGCAACGAGCGCAACCCUUGUCCUAUGUUGCCAGCGGGUUAUGCCGGGGACUCGUAGGAGACUGCCGGGGUCAACUCGGAGGAAGGUGGGGAUGACGUCAAGUCAUCAUGCCCCUUAUGUCCAGGGCUUCACACAUGCUACAAUGGCCGGUACAAAGGGCUGCGAUACCGUGAGGUGGAGCGAAUCCUUUCAAAGCCGGUCUCAGUUCGGAUCGGGGUUUGUCUGCAACUCGACCCCGUGAAGUAGGGGGAGUCCUUAGUAAUUGCAGAUCAGCAACGCUGCGGUGAAUACGUUCCCGGGCCUUGUACACGCCACCCGUCACGUCAUGAAAGUCGGUAACACCCGAAGCCGGUGGCCUAACCCCUUGUGGGAGGGAGCCGUCGAAGGUGGGAUCGGCGAUUGGGACGAAGUCGUAACAAGGUAAC